rnacentral:sRNA from 1 species
CUCCUAUGGCAACUCCGACUAUUAAGAGGAUGGAGGCCACCGAGACCACAACUUUUCCAAUCAUUUUUUUUUUUCUGUUUUUUUUUUUUUUUGGUUCUUUUUUCUCUCCGAUCCCUCCGGAUUUAUUAAGGUUAAUCGGAGAGGGAGAGGCUUUAUUAGAUUA